rnacentral:tRNA from 1 species
GCCUGGGUGGCUCAGUCGGUUGAGCGUCCGACUUCAGCUCAGGUCAUGAUCUCAUGAUUCGUGAGUUCAAGCCCCACGUUGGGCU